rnacentral:rRNA from 1 species
UCGAGAAUUUUUCACAAUGGGCGAAAGCCUGAUGGAGCGACGCCGCGUGGGGGAUGAAUGGCUUCGGUCCGUAAACCCCUGUCAUUCGGGAACAAUGCCUGCGGAAUAACACUUCGCAGGUUGAUAGUACUGGAAGAGGAAGGGACGGCUAACUCUGUGCCAGCAGCCGCGGUAAUACAGAGGUCCCAAGCGUUGUUCGGAUUCACUGGGCGUAAAGGGUGCGUAGGUGGCCGGGUAAGUCUGAUGUGAAAUCUCGAAGCCUAACUUCGAAACUGCAUCGGAUACUACUUGGCUAGAGGUCUGGAGGGGGGACUGGAAUUCUCGGUGUAGCAGUGAAAUGCGUAGAUAUCGAGAGGAACGCCAAUGGCGAAGGCUAGUCCCUGGACAGAUCCUGACACUGAGGCACGAAAGCUAGGGGAGCAAACAGG